GAGCGGACAGAUGGGAGCUUGCUCCCUGAUGUUAGCGGCGGACGGGUGAGUAACACGUGGGUAACCUGCCUGUAAGACUGGGAUAACUCCGGGAAACCGGGGCUAAUACCGGAUGCUUGUUUGAACCGCAUGGUUCAGACAUAAAAGGUGGCUUCGGCUACCACUUACAGAUGGACCCGCGGCGCAUUAGCUAGUUGGUGAGGUAACGGCUCACCAAGGCAACGAUGCGUAGCCGACCUGAGAGGGUGAUCGGCCACACUGGGACUGAGACACGGCCCAGACUCCUACGGGAGGCAGCAGUAGGGAAUCUUCCGCAAUGGACGAAAGUCUGACGGAGCAACGCCGCGUGAGUGAUGAAGGUUUUCGGAUCGUAAAGCUCUGUUGUUAGGGAAGAACAAGUGCCGUUCAAAUAGGGCGGCACCUUGACGGUACCUAACCAGAAAGCCACGGCUAACUACGUGCCAGCAGCCGCGGUAAUACGUAGGUGGCAAGCGUUGUCCGGAAUUAUUGGGCGUAAAGGGCUCGCAGGCGGUUUCUUAAGUCUGAUGUGAAAGCCCCCGGCUCAACCGGGGAGGGUCAUUGGAAACUGGGGAACUUG
rnacentral:rRNA from 1 species